AGGCCGGCAUGCGAUUUCAUCACACUAUUCAGAAUGGUGUGCAAUUUUAAAUGUAUUAAUUGUUUAUUUCCGGAAUUUUCUAUUUAAGACUCUUGGACUGUGAUACUGAAACCAUGGAAAGCAAAACCAUGGCUAACAGAGGUCUACUGUACAUAAAUUACAAUGCAAUAUAAUUGUGUUAUUUAUAAGAUUAUAUGGGGUUAUAUUUAAAAAGUAAUUUAUGAUAUGCAAUACGGUAUCUGAUAAUGAGCUAUUAAAGUUUGAUUAUAAAUAAGAUCUUAAAUGUAUACCAGAGACUGCAUGUAUAAACUAAUAUGGAGAGAUUAUUGGAAGUUUAUUUUGCAGUCUAUUGAGUAAGAUCCAGGGUGAAUGGUUCUUUGGCCCCCAUUAUACAUUCUGUGUGGGCAGUAGUAUCAGGUACAGAUAAAAAUCAGUAACCAAAACAUUAGAUGGAUGAAAAAUGAGGGUGAUCACAGGAGGAUGAGAAGCUACCAGGGUAGAAUGCUGGAGAAAGACUGAGAUGGUUUUCGGAGAUGGUGUUCUUGUUAGCUCAAGGCCUGGGCACAGAGCUUGACUUCUUUGGGUUUCACAGAAUCAGGGAGGCAGAGAACCAAGAGACCUAGAAAGAUCUUCCCACAGGAAGAUUGAAUUUUCACCGUGGCAAAGGAAAAGUAUCAAAGGAGAGUCCUGCUAAGAACAAAGCAAAGAGAUUUAAGAGCUUAACAUCUUUGGACGACGUGCUUUGGACCAUCCUUGCCCAUAAUCCUUUUCUUUGAGAUCCUAUUCCCUAUGUAGCACUGGUAAUGGGCAGCCCUAUGUAACUGGUGACACCCUUACAAGAAAACUGGUCUGCAAAGAGAAGGAAGAGGAAAGAAAAAUUGUGCAGAGAGAAGUAGAAGCUAGAAAGCACAUGAAUCUUGAGAGGUAACUGAGUUGUCUCAGUUCUUCAAUGGUUUCAGUUCCCAUGACUCAUGUUGGUACCAUGCUAUGGUUUCUGUGGAUCUCUAGCAUUGUAUGAAGCUUCCUCAGCUUAUAUCCUAUAAGUGGGGUCACUGUUUUUUUUUUUUUUUUUUGUCUUGAAAAGAGUCCUGACUAGGACAAUAAGUGAUAUGUUGUUGAAAGUUGAUGGCCUCUAGUUGUCUUGGGAACUUAAGCUUAGAUACAGGGAGAACUAUAUUGGUUUUCUCACCCCAGUUAAUAUAGCCAGAGCUAGUUUUCCAUCGCCAGUAGGGAGGAGUGUUUGGACACUUUCAGACAGUUGGGUUGGAGCUAAGAUAAGGCAGAAGGAGAUAAUUUUUUUAUGAGUCCUGGAUAAAUAUUGGUGGAUGUUUUGUUUAGGGUAAAAGCUAAGUUGCUGAAACAAUGGGAACCUUUUAGUACAAUGACUUAAAUAAGAUUAAUAUUUAUGUAUCUCUUUUGCUACAGACACAGUAAUAGACGAGUUCUUCUCCUUAAUGUCAGUUGCAUCAGUUGUCCUUGUCUACAUGGUCACUAGUACCAUGAUCAUGUUCCAACCCAUAGGAAUGGGGUAAGGGGAAUAGAGAGUGUCACCAAAGAUUGAAGUCCAAAGAUUUGUCACACACUACUUACAGUCAUAUAUCAAGGGCUGAAACUCGCCAUACCUAGCUGCAUGGAAUGUACUUUCUUAGAUUUGUGGCCACACAUGCUGCUAAACAACUUUUGGUGUUCGAUUAUUAAAAUAAAGAGUUUCAGGGGACCAUUAAGAGAAUAUCUGUAGCAAGCAGGAGCAGAACUAGAGCAGAGCUCCACAAAGCUUAACACAGUUUGUUUUCUCCUAUUCCUCUAGCAUUGACUGACUUUUGGGUUUUAUCCAUUUAUUUGUUUACAAUUUUAAUUUACUUACUUGUUUUAUUUGUAAUGUGUGUUAUUUGUGGUUGAACACUUUGUAUUUAUAAUUCACUAAAAGGUAAUCAAAAUUUAAAAUUAAAUGUUUUACUUUUGUAUGACCAUUAAUAGUUUUAUUGGGUUUUAGAGCAGUGCCAUAAAAUUUCUAAAAAAAAAAAAAAUAACAGGCGAGUUACUGCUGAUCUCGCUCUCUGAAUGCACUAGCAAAGAAAGUGUGUUUCACUCUGAUAAGCCUCUGUGGACCAAAAAUUUCUAUUUCAAAGGAGAACGAAAUGCCAACUAGUGGCUGCAGGUGGGGGAUAAGUGUGGAAUAUGUGAAACAAAUGUUUACAGUUUUUUUAAUUAUUCAAAAACAGUUGUGUGAUAACUCUGCAGGGGGUCAUGCUAGGACAGGCAUCUAUGAAGCACAAUAAAGGCAACUAGACAAAUCAAAGCAUAGGAAGGACUGAGCUGAAAAUAAUGGAGAUAUUCAUUCCUUUAUAAAUAAUGUGUCCAAUAAUACCUUAAUACUGCAUAAAAGCUAGGCAUGGUGGUGUGUGCCUGUAGUCCCAGCUACUGUGGAGGCUGAGGUAGGAGGAUCACCUGAGCCAGGAAGUCAAGGCUGCAGUGAGCCAUGAUCACACCACUGCACUGCAGCCUGGAGGACAGAGUGAGACCCUGUCUCAAAAAACAAACAAACCAACUAACUAACUACUUAAAAAAUAACCUGACUUUAAAACAGCAAAAAUCCCUUGCUUUUCUACAUUCGUUUUUUCUAGAUUAGGUUUGUGAAUAAGGAGCAGAAGAAUAAAAAUAUCUCUGCCUCCAGGGGGUUACUGCCCCAUUGUGGAUAUAAGAAGGCCAUGGGAUGUUCAGUGGCCUCUACUAGGAUAUGGCUUACAUUAAAUAGGACUCAGAUAAGAAAGGUUCCUUGGGAGAGGUCAAAAGCGAAGAUUCUGGGGGGAGAUGGGAAAGAGUGAGGCUGCCGAAGUAAAGGAAUGGGAGAAUUACUUUAGAUACACAGUGUCAUUUAUCCUUUACACAAAUCUGAAAGUUGACUUCUUGGAAUUUCUCUGGAUCCCCAUUCUGUUGCUGCUCAAAUAUUCAGUACUUUCCUGCCUUCUUGGCCUUGUCUAAGUUGUUGGUUCUGAACUGUUGCUUUGACCUUAGCAUUUAGCAUCAGUAUUUUAAAAGUAUUUCUUUUGUAGAAGGCUUCAUUAGUUCCAGGCUUAACUUUGGCAUUACCUGCAACUGAGCUAUCACUGGGCCUGGCCCACUCACACGCCUGACCUUUAUUUUCUGCCCAGCUUCACCUUAGAUUUUCUAAGGCUGUCUUUCAAUCUCUUUUUAUUAACUGUUGUGUUCCACGUUUAUUUAGCAGCACAAAUGGUUAUACACUCAUUUCCAUUGUGCAGAACAGACCUGAAAAUGACACAGGAAGUCAAAAUAGAAAGAUCAUUAGGAACUUAAGGUAAGGAAUCAGGGUGGAGUGUAGUUCUGAGCAGAGCCUUAAAGGAUGAGGUAUGUUCAAGACUGAAUGACACCUUUGUGAUGCUAUGGAGUGAAAGCAGUGGAACAUGCUGGUGACCGACGGAAACAGUGCUGGGUGAGGAGGAAGGGUUUGGCAGAAUGUGCCGAGUUGCCCUAGGUCUGAACCCUGGUUCUUGUCUCCGGAUACCUGUGUGAAUUUCCUCAUUCCAAUUUUGGAUACCUCCCAGGAUGACAGCUUUUCAGCUUCCUUGUUGACAGAUUUUCAGGGUCUGUCUUUAGAAUGAUUAGCAGCUUUUAAUAUGUAGCCCCAAGUCUAUUCUUCCAUAGCCUGCACCCAUCUUUUGCUCAUAAAAUAUUUGGUAUUGACUCUGUAUUCCUUUGAGUUUCAUUUUUGUUCAGUCUUAAGUAGGAAUUACUUGGGUUCAAAGGGUGGGGAAGAAGACCUUCUUUCAGUAGAGAAGUCAAAGACAAUCCAAUACAGUAUUCCCUCCUUAUCCAAGAAGGGAUAUGUUCCAAGACCCCCAGUAAAUGUCUAAAACUGAGGAUAGUAUCAAACCCUCUAUAUACUAUGAUUUUUUCCUAUACACACAUACCCCAUGAUAAAGUUUAAUUUAUAAUUAGUCAGAGUAAGAGAUUAACAAUAACUAGUAAUAUAAUAGAACAAUUAUAACAAUAUGCCAGCAUCACUACUCUUGUGGGUUGGGGCCACUAUUAAGUAAAAUAAGGGUUACUUGAACACAGGCACUGCAAUAGUGUGAUAGUUGAUUUGAUAACAAAGAUGGCUACUAAGUGACUAAGGGGCAAGUAGUAUAUACAGCAUGGAUACACUGGAGAAAGGAUGAUUCACAUCCCGGGUGAGACAGAGUGGGAUGGCACAGGAUUUAAUCAUGCUACUCAGAAUGGCACACAAUUUAAAACUUGGGAAUCAUUUAUUUCUGGAAUUUUCCGUUUAAUAUUUUCGGACUGUGGUUGACCACAGGUAACUGAAACCAUGGAAACUGAAACCACAGAUAAGGGGGGACUACUGUACUAAACUUGAAGGGGUCUGAAUUCUUGUUGGAUAAAGUAAAACAAACACUGAGAAAAUAAACUUUAACUGUAUAAGACAGCAAAAGAAAAGCAAAGUAUGAACCAUGAAUUGCUUUAAAACACAAACAGCUUUACCAUGUAAUACCAACCCUCCUUUUCACAUUGUGAUUUAGUUAUUAACUAAAUCCUGUUCUUUAGAAAGGUACCACACAUUAUUUUAGAGCACAACAUCCACGUUUUAACCACAGAAGAGCACUAACAUGGAACUCUCUGGAAGAUGAAUAUUCCCAAAUGUUCAACACAUGGCCUGUGAAACCCAGUCCCAUAUUUAUUUUUCAUGUUACAUUUGCUGAUGGAAGUUAUAUCUGGAGUUAAAAGUAUUUGGCAGAUUCAUAAGGAUCCUUUUUAAACUAAAAUUUGACAAUGUCAUUUUAGCAUAUAAUGUCAUUCUCACUGUGUGGAGAUGUGGGAAUGGAAAAUAUAUCUGGGGAAAACACUGACACCUGGAAGGCUUCUGUCAACUUUCAACAAAAGCCUGCAAAAAACUGCAGAUCAGAUGAUAUGCAAAUGUGUUUCAAUUUCAUGUACACCAAGUACAUCGUAUCCUGUUAUUUUGACACACAUUGGAAAAUCAUUUGAUUACUUAUCUUAGAAUAUUUCUUUCUACAUGAAUCUUCUCAUUAAAAUUUUUCUGAUAACCUUUUACAAUUAUUAUUUAUUAAAAUAGCAGUUUAGCUCCGAGAUUUCCUGCUCUCAACGUUAGUGCACUUUAUGCCUCACUGGUGUUACUUGUCAUUUUCAGCUUUAUUUACCUUUUUGCUUACUCUCUCCUAUUUGAUUAUGUACUCCUAAAAGACAAGUUUCAUGUUCAUUUCACUAAUUUCCUGUAUAAGGUCUUACUUAACAUUGGUGCUCAAAGGACCAAAUUGUUUUGUGACACAAUAUAUUUUUAUUUUGUACUGUGAGCUCCUAGAGGUCAGAAGGGAAUAUCUCAUUCAUAACCCCCAGCACCUAUUACACUCCUGAGUCUGCAGAGUAACUCAAUAAAUGAUUUUCCUAUAAAACAAUAGGAAUUGCAUCCAAAUGCUACAUUUUGUCUUACAAGCCUAUUUGUUUUAGUGCAAGGAAUUGUGUUCAGACAAAUCACAGGAACCACAUGGAAUGGUCCCAUUGGUUCUCUAAUCCCAACAGAGGCAGCUGUAUGAUGUUGCUAAGGGAUCAUAAAGCUCCAGAGACAGAUCUGGGACAGGUACACAAUUUAAAUGGAGGCACAGAGGUAGAUGCCAAAGAGUAACUAUACAUUAUACUGUUUCCACAUUCAUGUUUUGGAGAAAAGUGUGAUAAAAACAAUUUUGUUAACAAUUUUUAACUGCAACUACCGCAAUUAAUUUUAAGCCCCUUCAUCAUUGUUAGGUAGGGCAGAAGGAAGAGAGUUAAAGGUAAUUAUUUUUGUGAUAUUUUGGAAACUGUAUGCAGUGGGUUGAGGGUGCCAACUGCCACAUAGUUGAAUCCACAGAUGAGUGAGAAAACUACGCCAAUGAGUUGUUACCGAUAGGUCAAAUAGCCUAAUAUGGUGGAAAAUUGCAGAAAAGAUUGCAAAAAAAAAAAAAAAAAAGUAAAAACAAACUAAAAAACUUUGAUAAUAUAGAAGAAGCUGUUUGAAAUAAAUAAAGCAAUGUAAUUCUUAGUUUUGUGUUUAAUCAAAACUCCUGCAAGGAUCUUGUUGACUUACUACAUAUAUCAACUAAACCUGUCCUGAUUUGUGGGCAAUUGAUUGUUUGGGUCCUAGUUAGAGGUAGAAUUAAUAGCCAUGUAACAGAACUUCUAAACAUCUUUGUUAAUGCUAAGAGAAAAAAGCACAUGAUUCUAUUUUGCGUAAAACCAGUGGCUGAUUUUUAAGAAAGAAGGAGGUGGCUUCUCGAAAAUGAAUCAGAGAAGUGAGAUCUUUAUAUAAAAGUAAACUAAAUUUGGUAUAAAAAGAAAAUAACUUGUAGAAACAGAUGCAUGAUAAGAAGAGAGCAUAAUAAGGCAUCCCAAGAUUUCAAAAGGAAAUUAUUUUACUUAAUUUGUUUUAAAAUUAGCUUAAAUUUGUUUCAGAUUUUGGGGGAGUGGGAGGUUAAUU
rnacentral:lncRNA from 10 species